rnacentral:rRNA from 1 species
ACUCAAAUGAAUAGACGGGGGCUCACACAAGCGGUGGAGCAUGUUGCUUAAUUCGAAGCAACGCGAAGAACCUUACCCGGGUUUGACAUGCUUGGAUUAACUCGAUGAAAGUCGAGCCACACCCGCAAGGGUGGAACAAGCACAGGUGCUGCAUGGCUGUCGUCAGCUCGUGCUGUGAAGUGUCGGGUUAAGUCCCUUAACGAGCGCAACCCUUGUCGCUAGUUGCUAACGCGUCAUGGCGAGGACUCUAGCGAGACUGCCGGUGUCAAACCGGAGGAAGGCGGGGAUGACGUCAAGUCCUCAUGGCCCUUACAUCCGGGGUUGCAAACGUGCUACAAUGGUGCAUACAAAGCGACGCGAGGCCGCAAGGCGGAGCAAAUCGCAAAAAGUGUACCCCAGUUCGGAUUGCAGGCUGCAACCCGCCUGCAUGAAGUCGGAAUCGCUAGUAAUCGCGGAUCAGCUACGCCGCGGUGAAUAUGUUCCUGAGCCUUGUACACACCGCCCGU